AGAGUUUGAUCCUGGCUCAGGACGAACGCUGGCGGCGUGCUUAACACAUGCAAGUCGAACGAUGAAGCUGGUGCUUGCACUGGUGGAUUAGUGGCGAACGGGUGAGUAACACGUGAGUAACCUGCCCUCCUCUUUGGGAUAAGCCUUGGAAACGGGGUCUAAUACCGAAUAUUCACAUAUUGUCGCAUGGUGGUGUGUGGAAAGUUUUUGUGGUGGGGGAUGGACUCGCGGCCUAUCAGCUUGAUGGUGGGGUAGUGGCCUACCAUGGCUUUGACGGGUAGCCGGCCUGAGAGGGUGACCGGCCACACUGGGACUGAGACACGGCCCAGACUCCUACGGGAGGCAGCAGUGGGGAAUAUUGCACAAUGGGCGGAAGCCUGAUGCAGCGACGCCGCGUGAGGGAUGACGGCCUUCGGGUUGUAAACUCCUUUCAGCAGGGACGAAGCUUUGGUGACGGUACCUGUAGAAGAAGCACCGGCUGACUACGUGCCAGCAGCCGCGGUAAUACGUAGGGUGCGAGCGUUGUCCGGAAUUAUUGGGCGUAAAGAGCUUGUAGGCGGUUUGUCGCGUCUGCCGUGAAAGCCCAGGGCUUAACCCUGGGUCUGCGGUGGGUACGGGCAGGCUAGAGUGUGGUAGGGGAGACUGGAAUUCCUGGUGUAGCGGUGAAAUGCGCAGAUAUCAGGAGGAACACCGAUGGCGAAGGCAGGUCUCUGGGCCACUACUGACGCUGAGAAGCGAAAGCAUGGGGAGCGAACAGGAUUAGAUACCCUGGUAGUCG
rnacentral:rRNA from 1 species